rnacentral:lncRNA from 1 species
AUAAUUGAAAACUUUCAAUGCUUCUUUUUACGCUAUUUUUUUUAGAUUCUUUUUUGCAGCGCGUGUCAUUAGGAUAAUACGCCGUCGUGUCGAUCAUUAGUUUUCAAGAUGUGCGGUUAAUUCUGAUUUUUCUUUCAAGUACUGUCUCGAUUCUUGUGCUAUUUCGUUUCACAAAACGUGACUCAAUCCAUCAAGUAAUGGGACGCCGAAAUUUAAGCCGGGUGUCGUCCCAUCGCCCUCCUCAACCUCUGAAUGAUGAUCUGUACAAAUACAAGUGCGGAUCUCAAGGGAAAUUAACUACACCGAAACACAUUCGACUGCCAAAAAUCGUUGAAGAUAGUGCACUCAUGUUUGAAAUAGUCAUGUUUGUCUUCACAUACGCCGCAACUUUUUCCAAUUCCUCAAUCUUUACCGCUCAGUUUGGUGGCUCCCACAUUCUCACACAAGCUAUACAAUGAAUUUCUACCUAAUAAAUCCAUAUCUGGUUGGAUUUAUUUCCACUGUCCUUGGGUGCAGAUUGCUGUAUCGUCUAAUUGGUUUUUUCACUUCAAAAAUAUGCCCAACUUUCAUGAAGAACACUGUUCAGAAGUGUAUACGAGUUUUACUAUUGAUUGCUACAAUGUCAGUUUUAUUGUACUGCACAUAUCAAAUCAUGCAGAGUCAUCCAAUAGUCAGCAUUUUUUUUUAUGUUACCCGUAAGUACUGCUCUUUUUUCCUGUUUUGUUCUUAGUUUUAUAAUUUAUGUUGUUUGCCAGGUGCCUGGCAUGUUUAUUUCGUUAAAUGAAUAAUUCUAAAGAUUUUGUAAGUUUCAUGGAAUCAGGAUUGAUUCCAAACAAGU